rnacentral:rRNA from 1 species
GGGUUGUGAGGUUAAGCGACUAAGCGUACACGGUGGAUGCCCUGGCAGUCAGAGGCGAUGAAGGACGUGCUAAUCUGCGAUAAGCGCCGGUAAGGUGAUAUGAACCGUUAUAACCGGCGAUUUCCGAAUGGGGAAACCCAGUGUGAUUCGUCACACUAUCAUUAACUGAAUCCAUAGGUUAAUGAGGCGAACCGGGGGAACUGAAACAUCUAAGUACCCCGAGGAAAAGAAAUCAACCGAGAUUCCCCCAGUAGCGGCGAGCGAACGGGGAGGAGCCCAGAGCCUGAAUCAGCAUGUGUGUUAGUGGAAGCGUCUGGAAAGGCGCGCGAUACAGGGUGACAGCCCCGUACACAAAAGCGCAUGUGCUGUGAGCUCGAUGAGUAGGGCGGGACACGUGGUAUCCUGUCUGAAUAUGGGGGGACCAUCCUCCAAGGCUAAAUACUCCUGACUGACCGAUAGUGAACCAGUACCGUGAGGGAAAGGCGAAAAGAACCCCGGCGAGGGGAGUGAAAAAGAACCUGAAACCGUGUACGUACAAGCAGUGGGAGCNGUGACUGCGUACCUUUUGUAUAAUGGGUCAGCGACUUAUAUUCUGUAGCAAGGUUAACCGAAUAGGGGAGCCGGAGGGAAACCGAGUCUUAAUUGGGCGUUAAGUUGCAGGGUAUAGACCCGAAACCCGGUGAUCUAGCCAUGGGCAGGUUGAAGGUUGGGUAACACUAACUGGAGGACCGAACCGACUAAUGUUGAAAAAUUAGCGGAUGACCUGUGGCUGGGGGUGAAAGGCCAAUCAAACCGGGAGAUAGCUGGUUCUCCCCGAAAGCUAUUUAGGUAGCGCCUCGUGAAUUCAUCUCCGGGGGUAGAGCACUGUUUCGGCUAGGGGGCCAUCCCGGCUUACCAACCCGAUGCAAACUGCGAAUACCGGAGAAUGUUAUCACGGGAGACACACGGCGGGUGCUAACGUCCGUCGUGAAGAGGGAAACAACCCAGACCGCCAGCUAAGGUCCCAAAGUCAUGGUUAAGUGGGAAACGAUGUGGGAAGGCCCAGACAGCCAGGAUGUUGGCUUAGAAGCAGCCAUCAUUUAAAGAAAGCGUAAUAGCUCACUGGUCGAGUCGGCCUGCGCGGAAGAUGUAACGGGGCUAAACCAUGCACCGAAGCUGCGGCAGCGANGUUGGGUAGGGGAGCGUUCUGUAAGCCUGUGAAGGUGGCCUGUGAGGGUUGCUGGAGGUAUCAGAAGUGCGAAUGCUGACAUAAGUAACGAUAAAGCGGGUGAAAAGCCCGCUCGCCGGAAGACCAAGGGUUCCUGUCCAACGUUAAUCGGGGCAGGGUGAGUCGACCCCUAAGGCGAGGCCGAAAGGCGUAGUCGAUGGGAAACGGGUUAAUAUUCCCGUACUUGGUGUUACUGCGAAGGGGGGACGGAGAAGGCUAUGUUGGCCGGGCGACGGUUGUCCCGGUUUAAGCGUGUAGGUGUGUGUUCCAGGUAAAUCCGGUUCACUUUAACACUGAGGCGUGAUGACGAGGCACUACGGUGCUGAAGCAACAAAUGCCCUGCUUCCAGGAAAAGCCUCUAAGCAUCAGGUAACAUCAAAUCGUACCCCAAACCGACACAGGUGGUCAGGUAGAGAAUACCAAGGCGCUUGAGAGAACUCGGGUGAAGGAACUAGGCAAAAUGGUGCCGUAACUUCGGGAGAAGGCACGCUGACACGUAGGUGAAGUGAUUUACUCAUGGAGCUGAAGUCAGUCGAAGAUACCAGCUGGCUGCAACUGUUUAUUAAAAACACAGCACUGUGCAAACACGAAAGUGGACGUAUACGGUGUGACGCCUGCCCGGUGCCGGAAGGUUAAUUGAUGGGGUCAGCGCAAGCGAAGCUCCUGAUCGAAGCCCCGGUAAACGGCGGCCGUAACUAUAACGGUCCUAAGGUAGCGAAAUUCCUUGUCGGGUAAGUUCCGACCUGCACGAAUGGCGUAAUGAUGGCCAGGCUGUCUCCACCCGAGACUCAGUGAAAUUGAACUCGCUGUGAAGAUGCAGUGUACCCGCGGCAAGACGGAAAGACCCCGUGAACCUUUACUAUAGCUUGACACUGAACAUUGAGCCUUGAUGUGUAGGAUAGGUGGGAGGCUUUGAAGCGUGGACGCCAGUCUGCGUGGAGCCGACCUUGAAAUACCACCCUUUAAUGUUUGAUGUUCUAACGUGGACCCGUAAUCCGGGUUGCGGACAGUGUCUGGUGGGUAGUUUGACUGGGGCGGUCUCCUCCUAAAGAGUAACGGAGGAGCACGAAGGUUGGCUAAUCCUGGUCGGACAUCAGGAGGUUAGUGCAAUGGCAUAAGCCAGCUUGACUGCGAGCGUGACGGCGCGAGCAGGUGCGAAAGCAGGUCAUAGUGAUCCGGUGGUUCUGAAUGGAAGGGCCAUCGCUCAACGGAUAAAAGGUACUCCGGGGAUAACAGGCUGAUACCGCCCAAGAGUUCAUAUCGACGGCGGUGUUUGGCACCUCGAUGUCGGCUCAUCACAUCCUGGGGCUGAAGUAGGUCCCAAGGGUAUGGCUGUUCGCCAUUUAAAGUGGUACGCGAGCUGGGUUUAGAACGUCGUGAGACAGUUCGGUCCCUAUCUGCCGUGGGCGCUGGAGAACUGAGGGGGGCUGCUCCUAGUACGAGAGGACCGGAGUGGACGCAUCACUGGUGUUCGGGUUGUCAUGCCAAUGGCACUGCCCGGUAGCUAAAUGCGGAAGAGAUAAGUGCUGAAAGCAUCUAAGCACGAAACUUGCCCCGAGAUGAGUUCUCCCUGAGACUUAGAGUCUCCUGAAGGAACGUUGAAGACGACGACGUUGAUAGGCCGGGUGUGUAAGCGCAGCGAUGCGUUGAGCUAACCGGUACUAAUGAACCGUGAGGCUUAACCUUACAACGCCGAAG